rnacentral:misc_RNA from 1 species
GAAAUGCGAUAAGUAGUGUAAAUUACAGAAUUCAGUAAAUCAUCGAAUCUUUGAACGCACAUUGCGCCCCUCGGUAUUCCAUAGGGCAUGCCUGUUCAAGCGUCAUCUACACCCUCAAGCUCUACUUAGUGUUGGGCGUCUAUCCCGCCUUCGCGCGUGGACUCGCCCCAAAUACAUUGGCAGCGGUCCUUGCCCCCUCCCGCGCAGCACAUUGCGCUUCUCGAGGCUACAGCGACCCGCGUCCAACAAGCUAAACCCCCCCGUCUUUAACCUCGGAUCAGGUAGGGAUACCCACUAAACUUAAGC